AGCCCCGUCGUCUAGUGGUCAAGGAUGGCGGCCUUUGGAGCCGUCGGCGGCAGUUCGAAUCUGCCCGGGGCUA
rnacentral:tRNA from 2 species